rnacentral:rRNA from 1 species
AUUGAACGCUGGCGGCAUGCUUUACACAUGCAAGUCGAACGGCAGCGCGGGGGCAACCCUGGCGGCGAGUGGCGAACGGGUGAGUAAUGCAUCGGAACGUAUCCUGUAAUGGGGGAUAACGUAGCGAAAGUUACGCUAAUACCGCAUACGCUCGAGAGAGGAAAGUGGGGGAUCGCAAGACCUCACGUUAUAGGAGCGGCCGAUGUCCGAUUAGCUAGUUGGUGGGGUAAAGGCCUACCAAGGCAACGAUCGGUAGCUGGUCUGAGAGGAUGAUCAGCCACACUGGGACUGAGACACGGCCCAGACUCCUACGGGAGGCAGCAGUAGGGAAUUUGUAC